GAUGAACGCUGGCGGCGUGCCUAAUACAUGCAAGUCGAGCGAACGGACGAGAAACUUUCUUCUCUGAUGUUAGCGGCGGACGGGUGAGUAACACGUGGAUAACCUACCUAUAAGACUGGGAUAACUUCGGGAAACCGGAGCUAAUACCGGCUAAUAUUUUGAACCGCAUGGUUCAAAAGUGAAAGACGGUCUUGCUGUCACUUAUAGAUGGAUCCGCGCUGCAUUAGCUAGUUGGUAAGGUAACGGCUUACCAAGGCAACGAUGCAUAGCCGACCUGAGAGGGUGAUCGGCCACACUGGAACUGAGACACGGUCCAGACUCCUACGGGAGGCAGCAGUAGGGAAUCUUCCGCAAUGGGCGAAAGCCUGACGGAGCAACGCCGCGUGAGUGAUGAAGGUCUUCGGAUCGUAAAACUCUGUUAUUAGGGAAGAACAUAUGUGUAAGUAACUGUGCACAUCUUGACGGUACCUAAUCAGAAAGCCACGGCUAACUACGUG
rnacentral:rRNA from 1 species